CAGCCGUAAACAAUGUGCGUUAGGUGUGUCGGUAACCACGCGUUACUGAUGCGCCGAAGAGAAAUCGUGAAACGCACCACCUGGGAAGUACGGUCGCAAGGCUGAAACUUAAAGGAAUUGGCGGGGAGCACCACAACAGGUGGAGCCUGCGGUUUAAUUUGGAUUCAACGCCGGACAUCUCACCGGAUAAGACAGCUGAAUGAUUGUCAAUCUGAAGGUUUUACAUGACUAGCUGAGAGGAGGUGCAUGGCGUCAGUGACU
rnacentral:rRNA from 1 species